ensembl:lincRNA 2310065F04Rik RIKEN cDNA 2310065F04 gene
GCUCAGCCCUGAGUGUCUCCAGAGGAGAUGCAAGCCUGAAGUGGGAUUGUCUGUAAUUUAAGUAAACUGAUCUGCUACUAAAUCCAUAGCAAUUCAAUUUAAACUUCACAGGGUUUAUUGCUGAGGACAGACAUGACUUAAAUAAUAUUGUGAGGAGCCAUAUUAAAAAAAAAAUGUUCAGGGUGUAGAGAGAAGGAAGAACAAAUGAGCCUGGUCAGAGAUUGUGAGCCCUGCCUUUGAAUCACCUGGGUAGAUCUGCAAGUUACUGAUCUUCUUCCAAUCAGCUCAUUGAACAGUCGAGGGGACAUGGGUCCAAGCUCCAGGCUUUUCCAAAGUUCCUUCCACGGUUGUGAUGUGCAGGAAGAACUGAAAGGCCCUGGCCCGGAUGGUAUCUGAGGUUUCUGACAGGCAGAAGAUCAACAAGACUUGGUGACAACGGAGGGGGUGGGUGGCCCUUUCAGGUGCAGCCAGAACAAGACAGACAGUUACCUGUGGAUCAGGCCUGGAUCGUCACUGCUCUGGAAGCUUCCUAGUAGAAGGGACUAUGUUUUGCCAGCUCCUGCUAUGCCAUUUGGUAUACAGUCUGCUUACGGAGGUGACACCUGCUGACCGUGCGCGUUUGAGAGCCUCCCAUCUUGAGGGCUAUAGUGUUCUGCUCACCACCUACAAUUACCACGACUAAAAAUACUUCGGAGUAAGGAGAGUCUUCAAGGGGACUUGGCGCCUGGACUACACUGUUCCUAUUUCGGUGCUGUGUCUCAAGGCCACAGCCUUGCUAUUGCUGAGCUGCGCAUCGCCAGUAAGACAUUGCACUUCAGAAUUCAUGGAAGCUUUGUGGUUAUGUCUCUUUCCCCCCAAAUGGUACCCACUAGAGAUCUUCCAGAUAAUUCCAUCCCGACUUAGCCACCAUGUGCAGAAACAGCAACUUCAUAGACAUCAGGGUGAUCAAACAGGCCAAGAAGACACCAUGCCCUCUUCUUCUCCCGCUGUCUUGAGCACCUUGUGUCUAUUCACUCAGCACGAUUCCAUCUUAGCAAUAAAUCCCCCAC